rnacentral:misc_RNA from 1 species
GAUGAAGAACGCAGCGAAAUGCGAUAAGUAAUGCGAAUUGCAGAAUUCCGUGAGUCAUCGAAUCUUUGAACGCACAUUGCGCCCAUUGGCAUUCCGAUGGGCAUGCCUGUUCGAGCGUCAUUAUCCUCCCUCAAACCCCUGGGUUUGGUGUUGGACUGUGUGGUGCCUGGCACCACUGGUCUCAAAGACAAUGACGGCGUCCGUGGGACCCUCGGUGCAACGAGCUUUUCGAAGCACGCGUCGAGUGGACAGUCUCUCCGGGCCGGUCACCCCUCCAAUUUUUCUCAGGUUGACCUCGGAUCAGGUAGGAAUACCCGCUGAACUUAAGCAUAUCAAUAAGCGGAGGA